rnacentral:rRNA from 1 species
AUGGUGAAGAUCUGCUGCCUUGGGGCUGGCUAUGUGGGUGGCCCAACAAUGGCGGUCAUUGCCCUCAAGUGUCCUGACAUUCAGGUGGUUGUGGUAGAUAUCACCAAGUCCCGGAUUGAUGCCUGGAACAGUGACACACUGCCAAUCUAUGAGCCUGGCCUUGAUGAAGUCGUGAAGCAGUGCCGUGGAAAGAACCUCUUCUUCAGCAAUGACAUUGAGAAGCAUGUUAGUGAAGCUGACAUCAUCUUUGUGUCGGUAAACACCCCAACCAAGACCCGUGGUCUUGGAGCUGGUAAGGCUGCUGAUCUCACUUACUGGGAAAGUGCAGCUCGCAUGAUUGCUGAUGUGGCCAAAUCAGACAAGAUCGUGGUGGAGAAGUCCACUGUUCCAGUCAAGACUGCUGAGGCAAUUGAGAAGAUCUUGACCCACAACAGCAAUGGCAUCAACUUCCAGAUCCUCUCCAACCCGGAGUUCCUUGCUGAGGGUACUGCUAUCCAAGACCUAUUUAACCCUGACCGUGUUCUUAUUGGAGGACGUGAGACCCCUGAAGGUCAGAAGGCUGUUCAGACGCUGAAGGCUGUGUAUGCGCAUUGGGUUCCUGAGGAUCAGAUUCUGACAACCAACUUAUGGUCUGCGGAGCUGUCGAAGCUUGCAGCCAAUGCGUUCUUGGCCCAGAGGAUCUCCUCUGUGAAUGCCAUGUCAGCCCUCUGCGAGGCCACUGGUGCAAAUGUUUCUGAGGUGUCCUAUGCCGUGGGCAAGGACUCUAGGAUUGGCCCAAAGUUUUUGAAUGCCAGUGUUGGAUUUGGAGGCUCUUGCUUCCAGAAGGAUAUCCUCAACCUGGUUUACAUCUGUGAGUGCAAUGGCCUCCCAGAGGUCGCCAACUACUGGAAGCAGGUGAUCAAGAUCAAUGACUACCAGAAGAGCCGGUUCGUGAACCGUGUUGUUUCCUCUAUGUUCAACACGGUUGCGAACAAGAAGAUUGCGGUGCUUGGUUUUGCAUUCAAGAAGGAUACUGGUGACACUAGGGAGACUCCAGCUAUUGAUGUCUGCAAGGGUCUGCUUGGUGACAAGGCUAAGAUCAGCAUUUAUGAUCCUCAGGUGACUGAAGACCAAAUCCAGCGUGACCUUGCGAUGAACAAAUUUGACUGGGACCACCCUGUUCAUCUCCAGCCAAUGAGCCCCACCACUACAAAGCAAGUCUCGGUUACCUGGGAUGCAUAUGAGGCGACCAAGGAUGCCCAUGGCAUCUGCAUCAUGACUGAGUGGGAUGAGUUCAAGACUCUGGACUACAAAAAGAUCUACAACAGCAUGCAGAAGCCCGCCUUUGUUUUUGAUGGCCGCAACGUUGUUGACUCUGAGAAGCUGAGGGAGAUUGGCUUCAUUGUCUACUCCAUUGGCAAGCCACUCGACGGUUGGCUCAAGGACAUGCCUGCUGUGGCUUAA